rnacentral:tRNA from 1 species
GGGGGUAUAGCCCAAGUGGUAGAGCAUAUGCUUAUCAAGCACAAGGUCCUGGGUUUGAUCCCCAGUACCUCCU